AUGGGGAUGGUGAUUGAGACGGAGGAGUGGGUGCUCACCCCCCUCGCUUACCCGCUCCUCUCAGUCGCAUCACUCGCCGCUGUCCUCCUCCUCCCCCACUUCUCCCGGCGACACGCCGCCGUAGUCACCCCUUCUUCGCCCUCCCCCUUUGACGUGGGCACCACCCCCUUCCUCCGCUUCCGCCGCGCCUUCCUCCUCCUCUUCUGCCUUGCAUCCGUGGUGGAGGGGAUCCAGUCGGUGUUCGGGGAGGAUGAGUUCGUGCGGUGCGGGUACGGCAGGGAGCAGAUGGCCGCGCGCCUUGCCGCGGCCACGGCCGCUGCGCUCUUUCUCGGCGGUGCAUCUGGCGUUGUCUCCGACAAACUAGGACCACAGAAUGCUUGCAUAUUCUACUGGAUGCUUCAGCUUGCAGUGGGUGCCUUGAAGAGUUUCAGUGGGCUUCGUUGUGCAUGGGUCAACAAUUUCAUUUUGGCUCUUGCAUCCUCAAUGUUCUGCUUCUGUUUUGAGACAUGGAUUGUGCUGGAGCAUGAGAAGCAAGGCCAGAAGCAAGAGUCGCUGUUUGAUACCUUCUGGCUGAUGACAUUCUUUGAAUCAAUAUCCCUUGUUGGAAGUCAAGGAAUCACAAACUUAUUGCUUGAUGAUGAUAACAAAGGAAUCUUGCUUCCGUAUACGUUUGCAGCCUUAGUGUCAGUAAUAGGAAUAUUGUAUAUCAGAAAAGCACCAAGUAUCAGUACCGCCCAUCAUGCAUCUGUCAUUGGAAGCUACCAAAAAUCAUUUUAUGCUCAUGUCCUCAGAGACAAAAGAGUGCUGAUUCUGGUCUUAGCUCAAGCAAGUGUCCAGUUCUCUGUAUCAGCCUUUUGGUUCCUCUGGGCACCAACGAUAGUGGCUGACGGAAGGGAUGCUCCUCUGUCACUAAUCUACCCAUGUUUCCUGGUCUCGAGAAUGCUUGGAAGUGCUGCUGUUCCAUGGUUUUAUGGAGCCAUGGCUCCUUUCCAAAACGAGGAUAGCCUGACAACAGCAUACAUUGCUGCUGGACUUGCUUUGUCAAUUGUGGCUUAUGAUUAUCAGGAGAUUGGAACACUGGUGAUACUGUUCUGCAUCUUCCAUGCAUCCGUGGGCUUUGUUUUACCUUUGCUCGCAAGAUUUAGGACAAUGUACCUGCCAAAUGAACUACGUGGAGGCAUGAUGAGCUUUUCCCUAGCACUGGGAAAUGCACCUAUGUUCAUUUUCCUAAUACAGGGCGCCUACCAUGGGAACAUCGCAAAUUCAACCAUUCUAGGCCUUGCAGCCUGUGGCCUUUUGUCUGCCGGGGGCUGCAUUCAUAUGCUGCGGCGUUGGAGAAAGCACACCCGUCAAAACGUGCGCAGUCUAUAG
rnacentral:rRNA from 1 species